CUUCCACCAAUGCUGCAGAGGAAUGCAAUAAUGUCGUUUUGAUCGAAAUCAUAAACUAACCCUGGGUCAAUAGCCGCAACUGGGUUUAUUUGCCCCGAUCCAUAGUCGAAAGACUUUAUUGCUGCUGGGCUCCACGAGGGAUGAUGCGACUUUAUGAUAGCUGCGAUUGCUGAAGCAUGUGGACAGGCCAUGGAAGUCCCAGAGAUUAUGUUAUAAUCUACUGAUUUCCCGGCUGAGAUAUCUGUAGCCACCGGAGACCAUGCAGCCAAGAUGUUCACUCCAGGUGCCGCUAUGUCGGGCUGCCAAAAAAAAAAAAGCGUUGUCAGGUGAGAUUCCAGGGGCUGCAGCUGCACUCCCGGCUAUUAAACUGUAAUACCUCUCCAAGGUUGAAGGAUUUGCGCUGAUACCCUAUACAAACAAGAUAUAUGUGUGUUUGUGUGUCUAUAUAUUCCAGAUAAUAAAUAAUUCUUUCAUCAAUAAAAGCGACAGUCAGUAUCCACGGGGCAACAUUUGCUGCAGUACUUGGUAGGAAGGAGUUCCCAGCUGAUGCAGAAAUGAAAACGCCUUUCUGGAAUGCGUGGAAAGUUCCAAUAGACACUACGUCUUCGAAGUAGAUGGGCUGGGGUGGAUCAGCUCCAAAGGAAAGCGAGAAGAUAUCUACGCCAUCAUGAAUUGCGUCGUCCAUGGCAGCAAGAAUAUCUGCAUCGCUGCACAGGUCGAACCAGCACGCCUUGUAUAUUGCCAGUCUCGCCCCCGGUGCUCCUCCUCUUGCAGUGCCUUCUCCCAUCCCGAAGAAGCUGGCGUUGGAAACCAUGGCUCCAGCAAUCGUAGAUGCGAUGUGGGUUCCAUGGCCAUCAUUAUCUCGAGCUGAUCGGAAAAAGCUACCUAUUGCAGUUGGAGGAUGUGAAAUUCUGGCCAGUUAUACAUUCUCCUGUGAAUCUUUUAGGAACGGGACCUAAUCCAUAAUCGUUGAAGCUCUUCGAGUCAGGCCAAAUUCCUAGCAGGAAUGGCAUACCUGCAAGCUUUCGAGCCUGGUGUGGUGUUAGCAUAGCAGAAAAACCUCUAAAGCUUUUAGUAUAAUGGUGGCGCACCGCGUCUUUUGCCUCUUCAUAGCUGAAACCAAUUGAAUUCGACAAAAUUUUCUUCACUUAGCUCAUCAAGAGUCAAGACACAUGUAUAUUGGUAUCUUACAUAUAACCAUAAAACAUGCAUGUAGUGUUUUCUUGUUGGUGUAUUUGUUUCUGUGCUAUAUCUUCAGUUGAGAAAAAUAAUGAAAGCAAAAAAAAAGAAAAAAGAAAAAAAAGAGGGUUCAAUGUGCAUGCCUUCCUUUAACUGAAGCAAGAAUUUCAUGGUUAGCUGUGAUUGCAGACUCUGAGCUGUGGUGUGAGUGAUGCCCCAUGUAAACAAUGUAAUGCUGCAAGAAUAAUCCUCUGUCAGACAUCAUAGUCAUAAAAAAGAACACAAACAAUUACAUGCAUGUAUCUGUCAUAUUGUGGUGGGUUAGUUGUGAUUGGAAUGUGACUAAUUGGCAACUUCAGUCAAAUUGGUCAGAUAGUUGGUUUGAUAACCACAAUGUUUCAUGUUAAUUUGAUUCUUCAUGGGAGUUGUCUAUUAGCCUUCUUGGUUUGAGUCUAUCAACUAUAGACAACAUAAAUUGGUUUACUUCCUUGUGGUCUUUUGCUGGUUAAAGUCAUAAGGCGGACUUCACCCAGGGCACAUAUUCCGUUGUUUCUUCAUUCUCGAUGCUAUAAUUUAGACUAGCUUAGAUUGUUCGUAGUUGACCGACUCAAACUAAGAAGGCCAAUAAGCUGCUCCUGCUGGGAGUCGAAUUUGUAAUCUUGUGGUUACCAAGAAA